rnacentral:rRNA from 1 species
GCUUGGAAGCAGCCAUUCAUUUAAAGAGUGCGUAACAGCUCACUAGUCGAGGAGUCCGGCGUGGAUAAUACUCGGGCAUAAACUGUUUACCGAAGCUAUGGAUGUAGAAAUACAUGGUAGGGGAGCAUUCCAACGGCGUCGAAGGUGAAGGAUGACCUUUGCUGGAGCUUUUGGAAACGCAAAUGUAGGUAUAAGUAACGAUAAAGGAGGUGAGAAACCUCCUCGCCGAAAGACUAAGGUUUCCUGAUCAACGUUAAUCGGAUCAGGGUAAGUCGGGACCUAAGGUUAAGCCGAACGGCGAUACCGAUGGAAGAAUGGUUUAAUAUUCCCAUACUACUUUAUGGAGCGAUGUGGAGACGGAGAAGUGAAAGUCCUGCCAUCUGACGGAAUAGGUGGUUGAAGAGUGUAGAUGUAGAUUCCUGUAGGCAAAUCCGCAGGGAGAGUCGACCUUGACAGUAUGCCGCGUGCUUGCACAAGGCAAAAUGGACGUAAUCAGGCUCCCAAGAAAAUCCGCUAAGCAUAUUCAUAAAGUACCCGUACCGUAAACGGACACACGUAGUUGGGUUGAAAAUACUGAGGCGCUCGAGUGAUUCACGGUUAAGGAACUAGGCAAAUUGACCCUGUAACUUCGGGAUAAAGGGUCCCAACGAGAGUUGGGCGCAGAGAAUAGGUCCAGGCAACUGUUUAACAAAAACACAGGGCUGUGCCAAAUUGAAAGAUUACGUAUACAGCCUGACACCUGCCCGGUGCUGGAAGGUUAAGAGGAGAUGUCAUCGCAAGAGAAGCAUUGAAUUGAAGCCCCAGUAAACGGCGGCCGUAACUAUAACGGUCCUAAGGUAGCGAAAUUCCUUGUCGGGUAAGUUCCGACCUGCACGAAUGGUGUAAUGAUCUGGACGCUGUCUCAACCGUGAGCUCAGUGAAAUUGUAGUAUCGGUGAAGAUGCCGAUUACCCGCGAUGGGACGAAAAGACCCCGUGAACCUUUACUAUAGCUUAACAUUGAAUUUGGGUAAUUGAUGUGUAGGAUAGGCCGGAGACUUUGAAGCAGGUACGCCAGUAUUUGUGGAGUCGCUGUUGAAAUACGGCCCUUUGAUUAUUUGAGUUCUAACUCGUUGUUACGAGGACACUGUUUGGUGGGUAGUUUGACUGGGGUGGUCGCCUCCAAAAGUGUAACGGAGGCUUCUAAAGGUGCCCUCACGCCGAUUGGUAACCGGCGGUAGAGUGUAAUGGCAUAAGGGCGCUUGACUGGGAGACUAACAAGUCGAUCAGGUA